UCAGAACGUCGUGAGACAGUUCGGUCCCUAUCUGUCGUGGGCGCAGGAUAUUUGAGAGGAUCUGUCCUUAGUACGAGAGGACCGGGAUGGACGUACCUCUGGUGCAUCAGUUGUCAUGCCAAUGGCACAGCUGGGCAGCUAUGUGCGGAACGGAUAAACGCUGAAAGCAUCUAAGCGUGAAGCCGACUCCAAGAUUAGAUAUCCCAUAGCGUAAGCUAGUAAGACCCCUUGUAGACUACAAGGUUGAUAGGCUGCAUGUGUAAGCACGGUAACGUGUUCAGCUUGGCAGUACUAAUAGGUCGAGGGCUUGACCAUAA
rnacentral:rRNA from 1 species